rnacentral:rRNA from 1 species
GACAGAGGGUGCAAACGUUGUUCGGAUUUACUGGGCGUAAAGCGCGUGUAGGCGGCUUUGCAAGUCGGAUGUGAAAGCCCACGGCUCAGCCGUGGAAGUGCAUCCGAAACUGCAUGGCUCGAGUCUCGGAGAGGAAGGUGGAAUGCUUGGUGUAGAGGUGAAAUUCGUAGAUAUCAAGCAGAACACCUGCGGCGAAGGCGGCCUUCUGGACGAUGACUGACGCUGAGACGCGAAAGCGUGGGGAGCAAACAGG